UACGGAGGGGACUAGCGUUGUUCGGAAUUACUGGGCGCAAAGCGCACGUAGGCGGAUUUGUAAGUCAGGGGUGAAAUCCUGGAGCUCAACUCCAGAACUGCCCUUGAUACUGGCGGUCUCGAGUCCGGGAGAGGUGAGUGGAACUGCGAGUGUAGAGGUGAAAUUCGUAGAUAUUCGCAAGAACACCAGUGGCGAAGGCGGCUCACUGGCCCGGUACUGACGCUGAGGUGCGAAAGCGUGGGGAGCAAACAGG
rnacentral:rRNA from 1 species